rnacentral:misc_RNA from 1 species
GAUGAAGAACGUAGCAAAAUGCGAUAAGUAAUGUGAAUUGCAGAAUUCAGUGACUCAUCGAAUCUUUGAACGCACAUUGCGCCCGCCAGUAUUCUGGCGGGCAUGCCUGUUCGAGCGUCAUUUCAACCCUCAAGCACAGCUUGGUGUUGGGACUCGCGUUAAUUCGCGUUCCUCAAAUUGAUUGGCGGUCACGUCGAGCUUCCAUAGCGUAGUAGUAAAACCCUCGUUACUGGUAAUCGUCGCGGCCACGCCGUUAAACCCCAACUUCUGAAUGUUGACCUCGGAUCAGGUAGGAAUACCCGCUGAACUUAAGCAUAUCAAUAAGCGGAGGA